CAAGUCGAACGAUUAAAGCUCCCUUCGGGGAGUGCAUAAAGUGGCGCACGGGUGAGUAACACGUAAGUAAUCUACCCUCGGGUGGGGAAUAACGUUCGGAAACGGACGCUAAUACCGCAUAAUGCAGCGGCACCGCAAGGUGACAGUUGUUAAAGAUUUAUUGCCUGGGGAGGAGCUUGCGGCAGAUUAGCUUGUUGGUAAGGUAACGGCUUACCAAGGCUACGAUCUGUAUCCGGUCUAAGAGGACGGUCGGACACACUGACACUGAAUAACGGGUCAGACUCCUACGGGAGGCAGCAGUCGGGAAUUUUGGGCAAUGGGGGAAACCCUGACCCAGCAACGCCGCGUGAAGGAUGAAGUAUUUCGGUAUGUAAACUUCGAAAGAAUAGGAAGAAUUAAUGACGGUACUAUUUAUAAGGUCCGGCUAACUACGUGCCAGCAGCCGCGGUAAUACGUAGGGACCAAGCGUUGUUCGGAUUUACUGGGCGUAAAGGGCGCGUAGGCGGCGCGGUAAGUCACUUGUGAAAUCUCUGAGCUUAACUCAGAACGGCCAAGUGAUACUGCAGUGCUAGAGUGUGGAAGGGGCAAUCGGAAUUCUUGGUGUAGCGGUGAAAUGCGUAGAUAUCAAGAGGAACACCUGAGGUGAAGACGGGUUGCUGGGCCAACACUGACGCUGAUGCGCGAAAGCCAGGGGAGCAAACGGGAUUAGAUACCCCGGUAGUCCUGGCCCUAAACGAUGAAUACUUGGUGUCUGGAGUUUUAAUGCUCCGGGUGCCGUCGCUAACGUUUUUAGUAUUCCGCCUGGGGAGUACGCUCGCAAGAGUGAAACUCAAAGGAAUUGACGGGGACCCGCACAAGCGGUGGAGCAUGUGGUUUAAUUCGACGCACCGCGAAGA
rnacentral:rRNA from 1 species